CCUGAGUUGAAACUCGCCGCGCAAGGGAAGCGUGUACCUGGGGAGUACACUGGGGAGUGGUACUGGGGCGCUGACCCGCGCGGACGCCGCGCAUCUCCCUAGGUAGAGACGGGGUUUCACCAUAUUGGUUAAGCUGGUCUGAAGCUCCUGACCUCAAAUGAUCCGCCUCGGCCUCCCAAAGUGCUGGAAUUACAGGCUUGAGCCACCAUGCCCAGCCAACCCUAUAGCUUUGCUUGUUCAUCCUGGGAAGGAACUGUGCAAGUUGGCGCUUCGGGCUUGGUAUAAAAACGGCUCCUGAAUUCCUGCCCAGUUGUAAUUUCCUUGGGGAUUUUGAGAGGGGCUCUUCAACGUUGCCAGGCUAUCACGGCCCUUUUGUUUGCAAGAGAGCAUUCCUGGACAAAACAUCUUCCAGAUUGCGGGUGAAUUUAAACAUCGCAGCUUCUUCUUUCAAUCAUAAUUUUCUGCUUGAGCCAAAAGCUGGAGUGUCCUCUUGCACCUGGAUUCCCCUCUGCCGCGGUUGAAAUGGGAGCGUGUAACUCUUUAUAUGUGAGACGUUUAUGGGCCAGACACUGGCAUUCCAACCCCCUCACCCAGGGCACUUGCUAUAAAAUAUUGAAGGCGAGCAGAGGCUAUCCUUGGAGGGAAUGCUGGUGAUGCCAGGCUCAUAAAAACCAGCCUUUUAAAAAUGAGUCCCUAAUCAGGAAUUGCACGCCCUCUCCCUCUCCAGUGCGCUCUGGCCUGGCAAAGCCCACUUGGGAAAGUAGGUGCUACUGAAAAGAGUCACUAGCCUCUACCUGUGGGACUUCUGUCUCCAGGGUGCUUCCAAAAUCUUUCGGGACUCUGUGUUCAGGACUAGAACUCUUCAUCCACGGGGCUCCAGUGCAACCCCCUCCAACCCCCAUCAGGAUCUGAAGGCAAGGAGGACCAGCGUCCAGGACCCGGUUUCUGCGCCCCCAGGCUCUGUAGAAGUUCUGGGAAGAAGUUCUCAUGGAAGCUGAGGGGAGGGAGACGCACGUCGGCGAACUCUGGGCCUAGCCAAGUUUCUAUAUUUUGAAGGGAGAACCAUGUACCUGCCCUUGGCCUCACCUGAAGACAAACACAGGAGCAAAAUUAAGCAGCGGAGCAACUUUCUGGAAAGGAGCUUAGGGAGAGAAAGCUGGUGCGAAACCGAGUGCGCGCUAGGCGUGUGCACCCGGGGAACAAGGCGUGCCCAGGGGUGUUCGCAGUGGCGGUGGGAUGGAUGCCCGCGCCACCUAUGCGCAGUUAUUUAUAAACUCAUUGUGGGCAUCAGGGUACCCACGACGCCGUUCGUGUCGUUCGUUCCCUUCCUCCUGGAAGGGAAGAGCAAACAAAGCAGUCCUUGGCAACGCUCAACCUCUCUGUGUCAUACAUGUGGUUUUCAGUGUAAAUGAAUUUAGUAAACGCCAAGGCAACAACCCUGUUUACUUGUUUCCGUGUAGAAAGGUUAGCUAACGAACCCGAAGCCAUCCUUCGCGCUUCUCUUUGAUUCCGUCUCAGAUUUACGGGCUUCUCCUCGGCUACACGACUCCAGCCAUCGCCCCCGCUCCCUUGGCCCAGGCAAAGAGAGCCCUAGGCUCCGAUUCCCGCCGCAGCUCAGAGCAAAGCGAUUGCAGGAUUUAUCAACCCCCCUCCCAGGACCUCGGAUUUCAUCUCUUUCUUUUCCCCCUGCAUGUUCAGUUUGUUUUUUCAAGACCUAAGCAAUUUUUAAUGUACUCUAUACUUCCCGCUUAAUCCUCAUCGUUUAUUGUAUAAUUAUAGUUUCAAAGUGAUUAUGUAAUUAAAAUCAUGUUUCGUUGCAGCAGGACUUCAAAAGGGCGGCAGACCCCCGCUCUGGCAUUAUUUUCUAGUGAUGUAAUAAUUUCCCUGUGAUAUUUAAAAUAAACACAUUAGUCCAAGAAUUCUAAACAUGUCUCAAAGUAUAUAGUAGGCUUGAUUGGCACGAGGCUGGGUUGUAAAGAAAUGGUAAAACCUAUCACUAGUUUAAUAUAUUUCUAUGCUCCCAUGCAGGGUAAAUUAUAGGAUAAUGGGGCGCAGGCGAUGGUAAGCUCUGUUUAUAUAAUCCAUUUCUUCACACGAGUUCCCAUUGCUUUCCCUUCCCUUUGCUGUAUGUGGUGGUUCUCUGAUCCCCUGACCUCAGCCAUGUGUUUUCACUUUUUCUUCUGAUCUCAAUUCCAUGACCAGCGGGGAAUAAAAUACAAAUUGAAUAGUAACCAUUCACAGGCCGCUCUUUUCAAACUGUUGUUAAAACCUCUUUGUCUUGUCUAGCGGUUGAUAGAUAAAUGUGUUGUGUUUCGCCUGACUUUUUU
rnacentral:lncRNA from 10 species